rnacentral:rRNA from 1 species
UGGGGAAUUUUGGACAAUGGGCGCAAGCCUGAUCCAGCCAUGCCGCGUGCGGGAAGAAGGCCUUCGGGUUGUAAACCGCUUUUGUCAGGGAAGAAAUCUUCUGAGUUAAUACCUCGGGAGGAUGACGGUACCUGAAGAAUAAGCACCGGCUAACUACGUGCCAGCAGCCGCGGUAAUACGUAGGGUGCAAGCGUUAAUCGGAAUUACUGGGCGUAAAGCGUGCGCAGGCGGUUUUGUAAGACAGAGGUGAAAUCCCCGGGCUCAACCUGGGAACUGCCUUUGUGACUGCAAGGCUUGAGUGCGGCAGAGGGGGAUGGAAUUCCGCGUGUAGCAGUGAAAUGCGUAGAUAUGCGGAGGAACACCGAUGGCGAAGGCAAUCCCCUGGGCCCGCACUGACGCUCAUGCACGAAAGCGUGGGGAGCAAAACAGGAUUAGAUACCCUGGUAGUCCACGCCCUAAACGAUGUCAAACUGGUUGUUGGGAAGGUUCCUUCUCAGUAACGUAGCUAACGCGUGAAAGUUGACCGCCUGGGGAGUACGGCCGCAAGGUUGAAAACUC